UUUCUUCCCCAAUUUCUUUUCUCCCCUCUCGACUCUCCACUCUCCCUCGACCUCAACCUCUCUCCCUCUCGUAAGUCUCUCUCAUCCCUCUCAAUUGCUUCCGACUCUGUCUCUCACUCCAACAGUAUUGCUCCGUUUCCCCGGAGGUCACCGUCGUAUGGUCGCUACCACGUUCUUGUUCCACUUUCCGGCCACUACCGAACCAUCGCACCACCACGGCUUCGAUUUCAAUUGGUAUAACCCAGUGUUGCUUUAUAAAUCAGCUGUUUAACCGUUUAUUUCUAUUCAAUUUGAAUUAUUCAAUUGGUUGUUAUGUGUGUUUCAGUGUGAAUUGAGCAGAAAAUUCUGGGCAGGUGUGUCCUAUUCCAGGCCCUGUUUUGCUACUUUAAACUCGAGAUUUGCUUCUGAAAUUUUUACUGGAGUUAGAUGUUAGUGUCUGGAAUAUGUCAUCAAAAUUUUAUACAAACAGACCAAUUUUUCUAUUUAUUAAAAUUCUUAGCGUGGGGCUGGUUCUGCAGGACAGAUUCAGAUUCCUGACUUGCAGGCCCUGUUUUACUCCCUUAAACAUGGAAUUUGCUUCUGAAAUUUUUAUAGUAGAUUGGAAUAAUGUUUAGGAGUGUCUCAUAAAAAUUUUGUAUUAAAAAGAUAAAUUUUCAAUUUAUUAAAAAUCAUAGAGUGAGGGCUGUUUGAACUAUUUGUUCUAGUUUUCUUUCUUUGAUUAGUGCAUAGGAGGAGGUUAUACUUGGUUGAUCAGUGUUAAACAUGUUUAAUAGUGAUAUAUGAUUUCAAAUCUAGCUAUGUAAGUGUGCAUACUGUGAUAUUGUGUUUUAAUUGAUAUUGGUCCAUUACUUAUUGGUUUAUUGAGUUGGUUACUUGUUGAAUAAUAUAAGAAAAUAGGUGAAUAGUCUGAUAAAUAGAGGAAGUGCUGUUGAAUUUUCGUUAGAAACUAUAUAUGUUUUACUUGUUAAAGGAUAUUAAAUAGAUAAGAAUAAGGUGACAUGGUUAACUGAAACAUGUUAUAUGAUAACUUAUCAAUAUUGACUUUUAAUAGCUAUAAAAGUUAAUUGUUCAACUAUGUGCUAUGUGUUUGUCUGACUAUGUGGUAUGUAUAUGCGAAGGGUAGAUAUAUGAUAGGUAUUAAUGCUUUUCGAGCUUAGUUAAUCCGUCUGAUCCGACGACUGAAAUACUAUUUUGCCAUCGUAUAGAAUUGAACGAGACGUUGAUCGAGAAGUGAUUGAAAUGGGUAUUCAAAAAUAGCUAAGUUGUGUUGCAAGUUGAAGUUAGGCAGAGAUUGCUAUAGAUAGAAUCUUGUCAGAAGCUGGCAGAAAGGAAUGAUAUGGCACUACAUAGUGUUAUUAGAAAUCUGAGCUAGACACCGGAGUUAAGGCAAGUAUAUAUCCAACCUACUUUCUCUUUAAAAGAUUUUGCUCCUGCAAUGCUUUUGUUAUGCUUUGAAUAUUGCAAAACUCCUUAUAGAAUUAGACUUCUACUAAUUACGAGUAUUCUGGAAUUACCCAAGUAUGAAAUGGAAUACCUUUUGUCACUUAUAUCUUGCAAAUGUAUCAACUUAAUUAUCAUCCUUAUCUUCUUCAACUGCUAGUUACUUAUUAUUGAGCUUAGAACCUUGUUUUCUUACCUCCCUUUUAACUACAACAAAUUGUGUUCUUGCUUAUAAAAAAACUAGUUCACUUGUUUGUUCCUGACCCAGAAAUGAAACCCAUUUCCUGAAAGACCUUAGUUAUCAUCAUACAACCUACCCCGCCAUUAUUAUAAAAUACAUUGAUACACUUGAUUCAGUAACCUAUACCCUUGAUAAAGAAUACUUAAUUAGUAGAAAUCUAAUGCUAAGGUGUUGAAAUGAAUAUUUGGUUGAGAAUCAAUGUUGCUUAAGAUUUUGAACCUUAAAUGAUUUGAUUUAUCUGUUUUAGAAAGGGAAUUGGAUGAAAAUGUUUUAUGACCGAGGCGCCGGUCCCAAUUGAAUUAUUAAAGGCCAAAGUGUGCCUAGGAUCCUUUAUAUUUGAGAACUCGUAUUGAAUAUGCGGGUUCGGAGCUAUGUCGUGGGCUGAUCACCCAGCUUAGCUCGUAGCGUCUUAUCUGGUUCCAAUUCCAUAAAGGAGAAACUGUUUUGUUUAAAUCAUAUUGUGUUGGUAUCAUUAUCUUUAUAUCAUUGUCAGGUUUUACAUACUGUUUGAUUUAUUGUUGGUUUGGAUAUUAUAUACUUGCUGAGCAUUCUUUUGCUCAUUCUUGCUAUUUCUUCUAACCCCUUUCAGAUAAUGUUAAAGAUGGUUCGCCUAUUUAGGCUAAGCAUAAGAGUAAGGCUAGGCGAGGAUUGCAAGUGACUAAGUUUCAACCUGAUGGUCAGGAAGAGUAUCCAAGAUCGAGUCUUUGGGACUAGUGGUAAUUAGAGUUGUCUAAAUUUGAUUUAGUUGUAAAAACAUGUAAUAGGAUUUAUUAGUUUUACUUUUCUGAUUUCAAUACUAUAGCCUGUUUGCGAUCCUGUUUUAAAGGGGGUUAAACUUUGUUCUUUUAAAUCUUUUAUUAAAGCUUUUAGGUUUUCAAUUCUUUGAUUUUUAUUAGUUUUUCAACAAUACAUGUUUCAAAAGUGUAAAUCAACUUUUUUUAAUAUCCAGGUUUGAAAUACUUGUUUUUACUUUCUUUAGAAAAA
rnacentral:lncRNA from 1 species